rnacentral:misc_RNA from 1 species
AGAAAAUAGUAUCGAUUUUGGUUGAUCGAUCAUCGUGUCAACUUGCUGUCUCAUACAAACUCCGCUCCAUGGUGUGUUAUUCCAUGGCCAAUCUGCAUCAUGGCACUCCCUGCAGCAAUAGAAUAUAUUUUGCUCCUGCUAUGUUUCUGCAUUACAUAACUUCUGCAGCAAUAGUGAAUAAUACUCCCUACAGGGUUCUUUCCAUUGGGGAACAUGCAGGAAAAGCCUUGCAUAUUGAAGAUGUUAACUACGAGCAUUGUUGCUGGUAGGAGUUAACUACAAACUGAUCAAACUGAUGAAACUGUACUAAUUUGGCCCAAUCUCCAUCGUUUUUAGAUGAGUUAUAUUGGUUAUGGGUUAGAAGUUAUGUAAACUGAUAUAUUUUGGUUUGAUUUUGGUUUUGAAAAUUAUCAAACCAAUGAAACUUGAAUCAAUGCUUAUUCACAAUAAAGAAGGUGACUGAACAAUUUUAUUGUAAGUCAUGGAAUUUGACAUUUUAUUUUGCUUUUGUCUCUAAUAAUUAUCCUAUAUGCUGUAUGAACG